CCUACGGGAGGCAGCAGUGGGGAAUAUUGCACAAUGGGGGAAACCCUGAUGCAGCGACGCCGCGUGAGUGAAGAAGUAUCUCGGUACGUAAAGCUCUAUCAGCAGGGAAGAAAAUGACGGUACCUGACUAAGAAGCCCCGGCUAACUACGUGCCAGCAGCCGCGGUAAUACGUAGGGGGCAAGCGUUAGCCGGAUUUACUGGGUGUAAAGGGAGCGUAGACGGCGGAACAAGUCAGAAGUGAAAACCCGGGGCUCAACCCUGGGAGUGCUUUUGAAACUGUUUGGCUGGAGUGCAGGAGAGGUAAGCGGAAUUCCUAGUGUAGCGGUGAAAUGCGUAGAUAUUAGGAGGAACACCAGUGGCGAAGGCGGCUUACUGGACUGUAACUGACGUUGAGGCUCGAAAGCGUGGGGAGCAAACAGGAUUAGAUACCCGUGUAGUC
rnacentral:rRNA from 1 species